rnacentral:rRNA from 1 species
GGUGAACGCUGGCGGUAGGCCUAACACAUGCAAGUCGAACGGCAGCACAGGAGAGCUUGCUCUCUGGGUGGCGAGUGGCGGACGGGUGAGGAAUACAUCGGAAUCUACUCUGUCGUGGGGGAUAACGUAGGGAAACUUACGCUAAUACCGCAUACGACCUACGGGUGAAAGCAGGGGACCUUCGGGCCUUGCGCGAUUAAAUGAGCCGAUGUCGGAUUAGCUAGUUGGCGGGGUAAAGGCCCACCAAGGCGACGAUCCGUAGCUGGUCUGCGAGGAUGAUCAGCCACACUGGAACUGAGACACGGUCCAGACUCCUACGGGAGGCAGCAGUGGGGAAUAUUGGACAAUGGGCGCAAGCCUGAUCCAGCCAUACCGCGUGGGUGAAGAAGGCCUUCGGGUUGUAAAGCCCUUUUGUUGGGAAAGAAAUCCAGCUGGCUAAUACCCGGUUGGGAUGACGGUACCCAAAGAAUAAGCACCGGCUAACUUCGUGCCAGCCGCCGCCGUAA